AGUGUUUCUUGGUCUUGGGCGCAAAAGUUCUUCCAAAGAGUCAGCGCUGCUAGAUCCCACCUCUUCCUCUAAUACUCUUUCUACAUUUAUCCCUUCAUUACGUGCUUCUUCAGCAACUCUGGGAGCUGGGUUGCCUUCAUCAUCAUCUAAAUGAAGAGGUCUAAUCCAUUGAAAAAGUUGGUUACCCUCUGUAUCAUCAUCUUCACCAACAAUAUCAAACACAUCUAGUGGGUCACCACGGUCGACAUGAUCUAUUUAUGCUUCCUUAUCUCGAAUUUGAAGCUUCAUGUUGUAGUAGCAAUAAACUAAUUUUUCCAAGCUACUAUGAGCCAACUUAUUUCUUUGCUUUGUGUGUAUGAGUGCAAAUGUGCUCUAAUUUCUUUCACAAGAAUAUGAGGAAGCUGUUUAUGAUAAUACUUUGAUUGCUAACUUUCUCACAGUUGGUGCAUCGGUCCCAUACAUGAUCCACCAUUUAGCUACAAUGAAAAACAAUGUUGAUAAGCCUAAUAACUCCAACAAAUUAUAUUAUAAACUUAUAGUGAAAUAUGUUUAUACUCACUAGGAAACAUAUUUGUUCGAGCAGCAACUGAUGUUGGUUCUCCAAAAGUUCUUCUUGCAUCUUUAAACCAUGUUAGCUGAAUUCAAUAAAUCGUGUUAGUUUAAUCCAACAAAGUAAUUAUUAUAAUUUAAGUAAUUGUGUAUCUCAUUUCCAAAUUGGCCAACUGCUGGUGAUGCAGGGUCUAAUUUAGAGUAUACAUUAUGUACAGCACGUAUAAGGUUACCAUCAUCUCCAACACCGGGUCUGUAUUGGUAUCGGGGAUUCAAAUAAUAUGCUGUUCAAAGAAACACAUACUCUAAUAAGAGAAAUAAUACUUAUGCAACUAAAGAAAUGAAUUGCAAAUUAUGACAUAAUUUAUACUUGCUGCAUGCAAAUCGUGGUAUAAUGUUUUAUACCAUCGGUCUUCAAUUAUCUUUAUGACCCACCUUGCACCAUGUUUUCUUUCCAAUUCAUCCUUCACUACACGCAUCAACUCAUAUACUGCCCCCAUAGUAGGAUACACUUAUGUGUCAACGAUCUGUAAAACUUUGUAAAGAGGUUCAAACACUUGGCACACAUGUUCUGAUUGAGUCCAAAAAGCAUGAUCAAGCACUAUACUUUCCACCAUACGACCUGUAUUUGAGCGGCUCAAAUUAUGGUUGGCCCAAUCGUCACUAGUGAAUAGUUGCUUCAACCCUACUUU
rnacentral:lncRNA from 1 species